rnacentral:rRNA from 1 species
UAGGGAAUCUUCCGCAAUGGGCGAAAGCCUGACGGAGCAACGCCGCGUGAGUGAUGAAGGUCUUCGGAUCGUAAAACUCUGUUAUUAGGGAAGAACAAAUGUGUAAGUAACUAUGCACGUCUUGACGGUACCUAAUCAGAAAGCCACGGCUAACUACGUGCCAGCAGCCGCGGUAAUACGUAGGUGGCAAGCGUUAUCCGGAAUUAUUGGGCGUAAAGCGCGCGUAGGCGGUUUUUUAAGUCUGAUGUGAAAGCCCACGGCUCAACCGUGGAGGGUCAUUGGAAACUGGAAAACUUGAGUGCAGAAGAGGAAAGUGGAAUUCCAUGUGUAGCGGUGAAAUGAGCAGAGAUAUGGAGGAACACCAGUGGCGAAGGCGACUUUCUGGUCUGUAACUGACGCUGAUGUGCGAAAGCGUGGGGAUCAAACAGG